AACGAACGCUGGCGGCAUGCCUAACACAUGCAAGUCGAACGAGAUCUUCGGGUCUAGUGGCGCACGGGUGCGUAACGCGUGGGAAUCUGCCCUUUGGUUCGGAAUAACAGUUGGAAACGACUGCUAAUACCGGAUGACGACGAAAGUCCAAAGAUUUAUCGCCAGAGGAUGAGCCCGCGUAGGAUUAGCUAGUUGGUGUGGUAAAGGCGCACCAAGGCGACGAUCCUUAGCUGGUCUGAGAGGAUGAUCAGCCACACUGGGACUGAGACACGGCCCAGACUCCUACGGGAGGCAGCAGUGGGGAAUAUUGGACAAUGGGCGAAAGCCUGAUCCAGCAAUGCCGCGUGAGUGAUGAAGGCCUUAGGGUUGUAAAGCUCUUUUACCCGGGAUGAUAAUGACAGUACCGGGAGAAUAAGCUCCGGCUAACUACGUGCCAGCCGCCGCGGUAA
rnacentral:rRNA from 1 species